UGGGAGUUCUGGUUGAUGAUAAGCUCAACAGAAGGCAAUAAUAUAAUCCAAGAUGCCAAAUAAACCAACACAAUUCUAGGUUGCAUUAGGACAUGAGAGAAUCAUGGGUAGACAUCGGCUCCAUCCAUCCCACAUGCUAGUAAGUGGACCUCGGCUCCAUCCACUCUACAGGCCAGUAAGUGGACAUCUGCUCCAUCCACUCUACAUGCCAGUAAGUGGACAUCUGCUCCAUCCAUCCCACAUGCUAGUAAGUGGACAUCUGCUCCAUCCACUCUACAUGCUAGUAAGUGGACACCUGCCCCAUCCAUCCCACAUGCUAGUAAGUGGACACCGGCUCCGUCCAUCCCACAUGCUAGUAAGUGGACACCGGCUCCGUCCAUCCCACAUGCUAGUAAGUGGACAUCAGCUCCAUCCAUCCCACAUGCUAGUAAGUGGACAUCAGCUCCAUCCAUCCCACAUGCUAGUAAGUGGACAUCUGCUCCGUCCACUCUACGUGCUAGUAAGCGGACAUCUGCUCCAUCCACUUUACAUGCUAGUAAGUGGACAUCGGCUCCAUCCAUCCCACAUGCUAAUAAGUGGACAUCUGCUCCAUCCACUCUACAUGCCAGUAAGUGGACAUCGGCUCCAUUCAUCCCACAUGCUAGUAAGCAGACAUCUGCUCCAUCCACUCUACAUGCCACUAAGUGGACACCUGCUCCAUCCAUCCCACAUGCUAGUAAUAAGUGGACAUCUGCUCCAUCCAUCCCACAUGCUAGUAAGUGGACAUCUGCUCCAUCCACUCUACAUGCUAGUAAGUCCAGUCCUAGAAUGUCACAGACUCUUGAGUUGAAAGAAAACUUAAAAUUUUGUCUAGUCCAACCCUCUACCCAACAAUCUAAUUUCAUCUACAACAUCCCCGAAGUAAUUGCCCAGAGACGAUUACCUCCAGUGACAGGGAGCUCCGUGCUCAGUGUUCUAAUACAGGAGACCACUAAUUCUUUGAAAGUUUUUAACACUUACCAAACACCCUUCCCUU
rnacentral:lncRNA from 1 species